GAUGAACGCUGGCGGCGUGCCUAAUACAUGCAAGUCGAGCGAACAGAUGAGGAGCUUGCUCCUCUGACGUUAGCGGCGGACGGGUGAGUAACACGUGGAUAACCUACCUAUAAUACUGGGAUAACUUCGGGAAACCGGAGCUAAUACCGGAUAAUAUAUUGAACCGCAUGGUGCAAUAGUGAAAGACGGUUUUGCUGUCACUUAUAGAUGGAUCCGCGCCGCAUUAGCUAGUUGGUAAGGUAACGGCUUACCAAGGCAACGAUGCGUAGCCGACCUGAGAGGGUGAUCGGCCACACUGGAACUGAGACACGGUCCAGACUCCUACGGGAGGCAGCAGUAGGGAAUCUUCCGCAAUGGGCGAAAGCCUGACGGAGCAACGCCGCGUGAGUGAUGAAGGUCUUCGGAUCGUAAAACUCUGUUAUUAGGGAAGAACAACUGUGUAAGUAACUAUGCCUGUCUUGACGGUACCUAAUCAGAAAGCCACGGCUAACUACGUG
rnacentral:rRNA from 1 species